UACGUAGGGUGCAAGCGUUAAUCGGAAUUACUGGGCGUAAAGCGUGCGCAGGCGGAUUUGUAAGUCUGUCGUGAAAGCCCCGGGCUCAACCUGGGAAUUGCGAUGGAGACUGCAAGGCUCGAAUCUGGCAGAGGGGGGUAGAAUUCCACGUGUAGCAGUGAAAUGCGUAGAGAUGUGGAGGAACACCGAUGGCGAAGGCAGCCCCCUGGGUCAAGAUUGACGCUCAUGCACGAAAGCGUGGGGAGCAAACAGG
rnacentral:rRNA from 1 species